AGACCCGAAACCCGGUGAUCUAGCCAUGGGCAGGUUGAAGGUUGGGUAACACUAACUGGAGGACCGAACCGACUAAUGUUGAAAAAUUAGCGGAUGACCUGUGGCUGGGGGUGAAAGGCCAAUCAAACCGGGAGAUAGCUGGUUCUCCCCGAAAGCUAUUUAGGUAGCGCCUCGUGAAUUCAUCUCCGGGGGUAGAGCACUGUUUCGGCUAGGGGGCCAUCCCGGCUUACCAACCCGAUGCAAACUGCGAAUACCGGAGAAUGUUAUCACGGGAGACACACGGCGGGUGCUAACGUCCGUCGUGAAGAGGGAAACAACCCAGACCGCCAGCUAAGGUCCCAAAGUCAUGGUUAAGUGGGAAACGAUGUGGGAAGGCCCAGACAGCCAGGAUGUUGGCUUAGAAGCAGCCAUCAUUUAAAGAAAGCGUAAUAGCUCACUGGUCGAGUCGGCCUGCGCGGAAGAUGUAACGGGGCUAAACCAUGCACCGAAGCUGCGGCAGCGAACGUAUCACCCAAGACAACUUUACGGAGUUGGCGAUUGACGGAGCGAAGCGAC
rnacentral:rRNA from 1 species